CUCGUAGGUGGUUGGUCACGUCUGCUGUGGAAACGCAACGCUUAACGUUGCGCGUGCAGUGGGUACGGGCUGACUAGAGUGCAGUAGGGGAGUCUGGAAUUCCUGGUGUAGCGGUGAAAUGCGCAGAUAUCAGGAGGAAUACCGAUGGCGAAGGCAGCCAUCUGGCCUAAUACUGACACUGAGGUGCGAAAGCAUGGGGAGCAAACAGGAUUAGAUACCCCGGUA
rnacentral:rRNA from 1 species